GGUAGGUAGCUAGCUAGCUACUGCGGCAAACUGUGUGAAUUUGCUACAACAGUAAAUCCAGAUCCCUAGGCUUAGAAGUCAUGAGAGUGAUGAUACAUUGAUGGGUCACAUCCAUGACCACCUUGACGAUUCAUGGCUUCUCUAUGACUAUUGUUGUGUCGAUUAUCAUCAUCACCACCCAUUUGAGUAGCACCAAGGUUGAGGUACACCAAUCUUGAAUCCAAAUUCAGGUUACCAAUGCUGUUGUUAUUAUUAUUGUUGUUGCCACUGCUACUGCUGCUAUGAUCUUCGCUCAUUGGAGGGUAAACCGGUGCUGCUGAUGAAGAAGCAUUGUUGUUGUUGUUAUUAUUGUUACUAGCAUUGUUUUCUUCACGUGACAGAACAAGAGCUGCAGAUUGAACAAGUUCCAAACACAAUCUUAACUUGUUUGGUUCAAUGUGGUUUAAUCCAGGAACAGCACCUUUGAAGAGAAAAUCAGAGGUUAGGGUUCUAAGUAUAUCCAAAGGUGUGACACCGUCAACGGUUCUAACUGUGGGAUCUGCAUGGUGGUCAAGCAAAACUGCCACCAUCUCCGGCGACACCAUCUCGGCAGCCACAUGAAGGGAAGUUUUCCCGGCAGGUCCAGCCGGGUAGUUAACAUCCGCAGCCCCGAGUUCAAGCAGGGCUUUCACCACUUCUCGGCUACAAUUCUCAACUGCAUAGUGUAAUGCCAAUGCUUCAUCAAGGUUUAGGCCUUCUCCCAUGACCAUGAGUUUGACUAGUUCCACAUCGGAGGAGUCAAGGGCCCGUCUCAUUCUUCGGAUCUUCUGGUCUUCGAGGUCACCGAAGUCAUGGUGAUGAUGGUGAUGGUGGUGGUGGUGAAGUGGCAUUAAGGAGCGCCGUGCUAAGGAGGAUUUUAGACGAAGUUCUUCGAUUUUGGCGACUACGUCAAUGGAGAGAUGCUUGGCUAGGAUUUCAGGUGGGAGACCAGACUUGGCAACAAGGUGGGAACAUGUUGUCCAAAGUUGGGGCAUUUCUUGCUUUCUUGAAGCUAUUAGUACUUUCAUCACAUCGUCUAUUGAGGCUUUCUCUACCAUGCUCACUAGUUGCUUCUACAAAUCAAUCAAGCAAUGAGAGUUAGAUAAAAAAUUAACAAAUAAUUUAAUAUUGGUAGAUCAAGUCGUAAAUCUAACUUUGUAUUUUCUAAUUGGAGUUAUCUUUUGUAGUAUGUUUUAAGUAUAAAGAUUUUAUGUUGUAAGGGUUCCUUAAAUACACUUUUCUUAUGGC
rnacentral:lncRNA from 1 species